ACCGUAAGAUCUAAAAUCUCUUUAUAGAUCGACUUAAAUGGAUUGAUCGUAUCUUUAUGGAUCGCCUUGAAUAUAUCACGUGGGCCACAUCCAACAUUCUCCCACUUGGCCUAGUGAUAUAUUUAUUACCAUAUAGGCGAUACAAAACUUUAUUAGGUACCAACUAAAUUAUACAGUCAAAAUCUCCCACUCGACCAAGAAAUCACAAUACUUUGAUCAUAGCGGUUAUACCCCAAAAGAUGAAUACUUCCUUCCAUGUAUCAAAAGUACGAAU
rnacentral:lncRNA from 1 species